rnacentral:rRNA from 1 species
CCUACGGGGGUCUGCAGUGAGGAAUAUUGGUCAAUGGGCUAGAGCCUGAACCAGCCAAGUCGCGUGAGGGAAGACGGUCCUAUUGAUUGUAAACCUCUUUUGUCGGGGAGCAAAGUCGUCCACGUGUUGACUGAUUGGUGUACCCGAAGAAAAAGCCACGGCUAACUCCGUUCUAGUAGCCUCGGGAAUACGGAGGAUGCGGGCGUUAUCCGGAUUUAUUGGGUUUAAAGGGGGUGUCAGCGGACAGGCAAGUCAGCGGUAAAAAUGCGGGGCUCAACCCCGUACCGGCGUUGAAAAUGGCGUUAUGGAGUGGGCGAGAAGUAUGCGGAAUGCGUGGUGUAGCGGUGAAAUGCAUAGAUAUCACGCAGAACUCCGAUUGCGAAGGCAGCAUACCGGCGCCCUACUGACGCUGAGGCACGAAAGCGUGGGUAUCGAACAGGAUUAGAUACCCGGGUAGUC